rnacentral:rRNA from 1 species
GUUACCUACGGGACGCAGCAGUGGGGAAUAUUGCACAAUGGGGGAAACCCUGAUGCAGCGACGCCGCGUGAGUGAAGAAGUAUUUCAGUAUGUAAAGCUCUAUCAGCAGGGAAGAUAAUGACGGUACCUGACUAAGAAGCCCCGGCUAACUACGUGCCAGCAGCCGCGGUAAUGCGUAGGGGGCAAGCGUUAUCCGGAUUUACUGGGUGUAAAGGGUGCGUAGGUGGCAGGGCAAGUCAGAUGUGAAAGCCCGGGGCUCAACCCCGGGACUGCUUUGGAAACUGUAUGGCUGGAGUGCUGGAGAG